UUUUUUUUAAAUAAAAUUUAAAAGGUUCGUUGGUGACCUGCGGAGGAUCAUUAGCACGUAAAGUAAAACUGCUAAGGGGACCCCCAACGCUCCCUUCCUUGUACCUGCUCUUACCGGAGCUGUUUGUGGGAAGAUUCAAACACAAACACGGUCCCCGACGAGCCCUGCCGGAGAGGCUCCGCAGCGGCGAGUCCUUGAGAGGGACAGAAAGCAAACCCAUCCUUGUGAGAACCGAAUACCACCCAGGUGGUGCGAUACGCCAGCUGGGCGCAUACUUGUAAAAACCCUAGUGUAUGGGGGAGUACCCGUUAAAAGCCAACAGUUAAAACUUUCAACAAUGGAUUCUCUUGGUUCUGGCAUCGAUGAAGAACGCAGCGAAAUGCGAUAAGUAGUGUGAAUUGCAAGAAAUUCAGUGAAUCAUCGAAUCUUUGAACGCACAUUGCGCCCUAUGGUAUUCCUUAGGGCAUGCCUGUUCGAGCGUCAUCUAGACCGUCAAGCGCAGCUUGGUGUUGGGCGUCUGUGGCCCCGCUCCCCUCAGGAGAGCCGGCUACUCGCCUGGAAACGAUUGGCAGCCCACGCGUAGGCUAAGAUUCGCAGCAGAUUAAGCGUAUCUACCCCUCUCGUAGGCACCCAUAAGCUAGGGCCCUCGGGUCCGCCCACCAGUUUGACCUCGGAUCAGGUAGGGAUACCCGCUGAACUUAAGCAUAUCAAUAAGCGGAGGAAAAGAAACCAACAGGGAUUGCCUCAGUAACGGCGAGUGAAGCGGCAACAGCUCAAAAUUUGAAAUCUGGUGCCUUCGGGCGUCCGAGUUGUAAUUUUGCAGAGGGUGCUUUGGUGGGUGGCGCCGGUCUAAGUUUCCUUGGAAACAGGGACGUCACAGAGGGUGAAGAACCCCGUUCGUUGGCCGCCGCCCCCUACCGUGUAAAAGCCCCUUUCGACGAGUCGAGUUGUUUGGGAAUGCAGCUCUUAAAUGGGAGGUAAAUUCCUUCUAAAGCUAAAUACUGGCCCAGAGACCGAUUAGCGCACAAGUAGAGUGAUCGAAAGAUGAAAAGCACUUUGGAAAGAGAGUCAAAAAGCACGUGAAAUUGUUGAAAGGGAAGCGCUUGCAGCCAGACUCGCCCCCCGGCGUUACGCGCCAGCGGGUGGGCCAGCAUCAGUCGUGGUGGCCCGAUAAAGGCCUCGGGAAUGUAGCUACCCCCCUGGGGAAGUGUUAUAGCUCGUGGCGCCAUGGGGCCAGCUCGCGACCUGAGGAUCCGCGCAUUGCUGAUGUUGCAAGGUCUUUCCCUCUUUAAAAGGAAAAA
rnacentral:rRNA from 1 species